GUGGCAAGCUCAGUGAUACCUUGAGGUCAUGACCUCCUUAUUUUUGUUGGUGAAAUGAUGAAAUCAUGAAUAACAUAUUGAUUCUGGGAAAAAUGAGGAGGCCAUGACCUCAAGGUAUCACUGAGCUUGCCACACCCAGAAUCAAUAUGUUAUUCAUGACUUCAUCAUUCCACCAAC